UGGGGCAUGAAGUUUUUUUGUUGGUUUUAAGAAUUUUAGGUAAAAUUAAAAUUUAUAUUUAAAGGUUUUUAUGUCAUUAAGAUUUUUGAAGGCGAAUUAGAUUAGUACCUAAUUAGUGAAAAAUUAAAUGUUCAGGAGUAAAGUGGUAUUUAAACUGAAAGAAUAUUGGCAGAUUUUCUAAAUUAUCUUUGGAGGUUGAGUGAUAAUUGAGAACCCUCAUUAACUACUUGGUUUUUUGGCUUAUGUAUGAUCGUUUAUUUUAAGCUUAAGGUUUAGGAUUUUAGGUUUUGACUGUAAAAAUAGAUAUAUAUUUAGUUUAUGAUUAAGUUAAUUUGACCUACAAUAUUUUGAAUUGUGUGGAUUAUUAAGUUAGUGUUAGUAUGAAAUUGUAAAAGACAGUAAGAAAGUUUUUAUAUCUUUUUGAAGAGUAUUUAGAAAUGGUACA
rnacentral:rRNA from 1 species